rnacentral:rRNA from 1 species
AAUACAUUUUUACAAUACUGUGAACAAACCAGAGUGUAUAAAACAUGUAAUAUAUUAUAAUAUUUAGCAAUGAAUGUUUUAUCAUGGAAUAUUGCUUUUUAAUAUAAUAUCGAUGGAGAUAGUUGGAGUUAAGAGUACUGAUAGGCGAGCGGUGAAAUGCAUUGACCCUAUUAAGACUAACAAAAGCGAAAGCACUUAACUAGAUUAUUCUCUUUGUAUUAUUACAAUGAAGAGCGAAGGUUGGGGGAACAAAGAGGAUCAGAUACCCUCGUAGUCCUAUUUUUACAUCAAACUAUGGGAUUUCAAUCACACUUAUGUUCUACAAUAUUUUUUAUUAUAUAUAAUUGAGUACUUAAUUGUUUACUCUUAUAUUUAAUAUAAUUAUUUUUAUUAUUCAUUAUAUGUACUUUGAGCUCAUAUAAUAAUAUAGGUGAGAUGUAAGCAUUAUAGGAGAAUAAUAUAUAAGUAAUGUUAUAUUAUUAUGAUCCUUAUUUAUAAAAAUGUAAUGUGAUG